AAUCAACGCUGGCGGCGUGCCUCAGACAUGCAAGUCGAACGCGAAAAUCCCCUUCGGGGGAUGAGUAGAGUGGCGCACGGGUGAGUAACACGUAGGUAAUCUACCUUUGGAUGGGGAAUAACCACCGGAAACGGUGGCUAAUACCGCAUAAUGCAGCGGCACCUAAUGGUGACAGUUGUUAAAGCGGGGGAUCGAAAGACCUCGCGUCUGAAGAGGAGCCUGCGGCGGAUUAGCUAAAGUUGGUAAGGUAAUGGCUUACCAAGGCGACGAUCCGUAACCGGCCUGA
rnacentral:rRNA from 1 species